AAGCAAUUGGGGCUACCGAAAGGGCUGCUAAUACCCAAUAAUACUAUAGGUGCAAAAGCACCUUGUGGUCAAAUGCUAGGAAUAUCUGUUCCUUGUGCUUAAAGAGGGGUUAAUGUCCUAUCAGCUAGUUGGUGGGGUAAUGGCCAUACCAAGGCAAAGACGGGUAGCCGGCUUGAGAGGGUGGUCGGCCACACUGGGACUGAGACACUGCCCAGACUCCUACGGGAGGCUGCAGUCGAGAAUCUUUCGCAAUGCCCGAAAGGUGACGAAGCGACGCCGCGUGUGGGAAGAAGGCCUUCGGGUUGUAAACCACUGUCGGGAGUUAGGAAAUGCAGGUGCGUUAAUAGCGCACUUGCUUGACUAAGGCUCCAGAGGAAGCCACGGCUAACUCUGUGCCAGCAGCCGCGGUAAUACAGAGGCGGCAAGCGUUGUUCGGAAUUAUUGGGGUAAAGAGCACGUAGGCGGCUUGCAAGUAGUUGUGAAAGCCUUCCGCUUAACGGAAGAACGGCAUCUGAUACUACAGGGCUUGAGUACGGGAGGGGAGAGUGGAACUUUGGUGGAGAAGUAGAAUCCUGAAAGGGUCACGACUCGGUAUCCAGUCCGAAGCUAUCACAGUGUUGCAUGGCUGUCGUCAGCUCGUGUCGUGAGACGUUGGGUUAAGUCCCCUAACGAGCGAAACCCUUGUCUUUAGUUGCUAACGGGUAAUGCUGAGCACUUUAGAGAGACUGCCGUCGUUAAGACGAGAANNGACGACGUCAAGUCAUCAUGCCCUUAUGUCCCGGGCUGCACACGUGCUACAAUGGUCGGUACAAAGGGAUGCUAAGUCGCGAGAUGGUGCGAAACCUAUAAAGCCGAUCUCAGUUCAGAUUGGAGGCUGAAACUCGCCUCCAUGAAGUUGGAAUCGCUAGUAAUCGCGGAUCACGUACGCCGCGGUGAAUAUGUUCCCGAGCCUUGUAUCACACCGCCCGUCAAGCCACCCAAGCAAGAUGCACCCAAAAUCGCCUGCCUAACCCGUAAGGGAGGGAAGUGCCUAAGGUGUGUUUUGUGAGGAGGACUAAGUCGUAACAAGGUAACC
rnacentral:rRNA from 1 species